rnacentral:rRNA from 1 species
AAUAGAUACCCAGGUAGUCCACGCCGUAAACGAUGAGUGCUAAGUGUUAGAGGGUUUCCGCCCUUUAGUGCUGAAGUUAACGCAUUAAGCACUCCGCCUGGGGAGUACGGCCGCAAGGCUGAAACUCAAAGGAAUUGACGGGGGCCCGCACAAGCGGUGGAGCAUGUGGUUUAAUUCGAAGCAACGCGAAGAACCUUACCAGGUCUUGACAUCCUCUGACAACCCUAGAGAUAGGGCUUCUCCUUCGGGAGCAGAGUGACAGGUGGUGCAUGGUUGUCGUCAGCUCGUGUCGUGAGAUGUUGGGUUAAGUCCCGCAACGAGCGCAACCCUUGAUCUUAGUUGCCAUCAUUCAGUUGGGCACUCUAAGGUGACUGCCGGUGACAAACCGGAGGAAGGUGGGGAUGACGUCAAAUCAUCAUGCCCCUUAUGACCUGGGCUACACACGUGCUACGAAUGGACGGUACAAAGAGCUGCAAGACCGCGAGGUGAGCUAAUCUCAUAAAACCGUUCUCAGUUCGGA